CUCCACGCCCUCCUGGGCCGAGUGGAGUUGGGUGGUGUCAGGAGCCUCUCCCUGAGGGGCACCGCGGCUUCAGGAGCUGGGCCUCCAGUGCGGCGCGAUGUCAGGCGCGGUGACAGCUCUGUGAGUCCGAGGCCGCGGCCGUGGCGCUGGGCGGCUGCGGGGCCUGACCGGUCCGCUCAUGGUGCCGCCACGACGCCAUCGCGGGGCAGGAAGGCCAGGCGUGCUGAGUUCUUCACCUCCUUUUAGACUGAGAUCUGCCAAGUUUUCCGGCAUUGCUCUUGAGGAUCUCAGAAGGGCUCUUAAGACAAGACUGCAAAUGGUGUGUGUAUUUGUCAUGAACCGAAUGAAUUCCCAGAACAGUGGUUUCACUCAGCGCAGGCGAAUGGCUCUUGGGAUUGUUAUUCUUCUGCUUGUUGAUGUGAUAUGGGUUGCUUCCUCUGAACUUACUUCGUAUGUUUUUACCCAGUACAACAAACCAUUCUUCAGCACCUUUGCAAAAACAUCUAUGUUUGUUUUGUACCUUUUGGGCUUUAUUAUUUGGAAGCCAUGGAGACAACAGUGUACAAGAGGACUUCGCGGAAAGCAUGCUGCUUUUUUUGCAGAUGCUGAAGGUUACUUUGCUGCUUGCGCAACAGAUACAACUAUGAAUAGUUCUUUGAGUGAACCUCUGUAUGUUCCUGUGAAAUUCCACGAUCUUCCAAGUGAAAAACCUGAGAGCACAAACAUUGAUACUGAAAAAACCCCCAAAAAGUCUCGUGUGAGGUUCAGUAAUAUCAUGGAGAUUCGACAGCUUCCGUCAAGUCAUGCAUUGGAAGCAAAGUUGUCUCGCAUGUCAUAUCCUGUGAAAGAACAAGAAUCCAUACUGAAAACUGUGGGGAAACUUACUGCAACUCAAGUAGCGAAAAUUAGCUUUUUUUUUUGCUUUGUGGUAGGUCUUUUAUGAUAUGUUUGCAUAUGAUGUUUGAAACUUGAAUUUUAAGACUGUAUACAUACCAACAAUAUAGGAUUGAAGUGUGAGACAAUUAGGUUGUUUAAUCAUGACUUUAAACUCUGCUAUUUGAUACCUGUAGGAAGUUAGGGUAUCAAAAUUAAUAAAUGCUUGAUAUACCUCAAAGAGUUAGAAUUCAAUAAGUCCUAUAACACUUCAGCUAUUUACAUAUAUACACAAACUUACGAACACACACAGGUUGGGAAGUUCUUCAGAAUUUAGCAUUGCCUCAUGCUCAAAAUUAUGAAUAGAGUUAUUUUACACUGUGAUAUAUGUGUAUACAAAGGCUAGUAAAUAUCCAGAUAAGAGUUUACUGUAUGCAUUGAUUUUUUUCAAAUAAGUGUUUUGCAGUUUUAUAUUCAUAUAAAUGAGGUUAAGUAUUAUUUUGUCAAGUACUCAGUAUAUUUCUACAGAAUUUCUGGUUGUAUUAUUUAUAGUUUCUUUUUAAAGAUAGAAACUGAAAAAUGUGCUUAAGAUUUCACAUCGAAUAAUGAUGGAGUAAAUAAAGUAUUGUUAUUUUGGGCUAAGCUGGGAUUAGAGACUUGUCUGAGUUAGAACUCUAACAUGUAGAAUUUAAAAAAUGAAUUUCUGUGAUAUUUUAUGUGUACAUCAUUGGAAGUAGCCUAAUCCAAGGUUUUUUAAAUAUGAGCCUUUAAGAUUCAAAUUUGUACUGAGCAUCUUAAACCCCUAAACAAUGAAAUGCUAAUGUCAAUGUUAUUAGCC
rnacentral:sRNA from 1 species